rnacentral:rRNA from 1 species
AGACCCGAAACCCGGUGAUCUAGCCAUGGGCAGGUUGAAGGUUGGGUAACACUAACUGGAGGACCGAACCGACUAAUGUUGAAAAAUUAGCGGAUGACCUGUGGCUGGGGGUGAAAGGCCAAUCAAACCGGGAGAUAGCUGGUUCUCCCCGAAAGCUAUUUAGGUAGCGCCUCGUGAAUUCAUCUCCGGGGGUAGAGCACUGUUUCGGCUAGGGGGCCAUCCCGGCUUACCAACCCGAUGCAAACUGCGAAUACCGGAGAAUGUUAUCACGGGAGACACACGGCGGGUGCUAACGUCCGUCGUGAAGAGGGAAACAACCCAGACCGCCAGCUAAGGUCCCAAAGUCAUGGUUAAGUGGGAAACGAUGUGGGAAGGCCCAGACAGCCAGGAUGUUGGCUUAGAAGCAGCCAUCAUUUAAAGAAAGCGUAAUAGCUCACUGGUCGAGUCGGCCUGCGCGGAAGAUGUAACGGGGCUAAACCAUGCACCGAAGCUGCGGCAGCGAACGUAUCACUUAAAGCGAUUCAGCGGGUUACGAUUGACGGAGCGAAGCGACGUCAAAGCGUAUACAAAGUCGAGUCGGUUUAAGGAUACGUUCGUUGGGUAGGGGAGCGUUCUGUAAGCCUGUGAAGGUGUGUCGUGAGGCAUGCUGGAGGUAUCAGAAGUGCGAAU